ensembl:lncRNA
GUCACUGGGUAACACAUUUGCAUAAUUCCUGCCUGCCCGCGGAAUACGAACAGAGUCAGACUCUGACCUGCCCACAAACACUUCUGCUAGUUAGUGUGUUUACAUGAUGUUGAGAAGACGCUGUGUUCAAGGAUACCACAGAAAUACAAUUCUAACCUUUUGUUGUGUGCAUGUCAUUUUACCAAGGACUUUUUAUCUUCGUUGGCUUCUAAUCUUCUUAAUUUGGACUAACAAGUUCUCCAAACCACAACCUAAUUGUUGAGGUUUGUGUCUUCAUUGUGCACGUGCCGGGGGUUAAUGACACAGGAGCCUGCUUGUGUGAGAAGGAGGCGAUUUUCUCAGCUCCUUCAGAAGAGAGGGAAAAACGGUUCAGUCAA